rnacentral:rRNA from 1 species
CGCAAGAUUAAAGAGUGUAACAACUCGCUUUUGGAGCGGCCUUGUGCCUAUCAGCUAGUUGGUGGGGUAAUAGCCUACCAAGGCUUUGACGGGUAGGGGGUGUGAGAGCAUGGCCCCCCACAAUGGCACUGAGACACGGGCCAUACAUCUACGGAUGGCAGCAACUGGGAAUCGUUGGCAAUGGACGAAAGUCUGACCACGCGACGCCGCGUGAGGGAUGAAGCUUCUUGGAGUGUAAACCUCUUUUGACCCGCCAUGAAGGUGGGUAGAAUAAGCGCCUACAAACUACGUGCCAGCAGUCGCGGUAAUACGUAGGGCGCGAGCGUUAUCCGGAUUUACUGGGCGUAAAGGGUCGUGUAGGUGGUUUACCGCAUCGUGCCUGAAAGCCCGAGGCUUAACCUCGGCGUUGGGUACGAGAUGGGUAAACUCGAGGGAGAUAGAGGAAAGGGGAACUCAUGGUGAAGCAGUGAAAUGCGUUGGUAUCAUGAGGAACACCGAAGGCGAAGGCACCUUUCUGGGUCUUCCCUGACACUGAGACACGAAAGCUGGGGGAGCGAAGCAGAUUAGAUACCUGCGUAGUCCCAGCCCUAAACGCAUGCCUGCUAGAUGCUCUGUGCAAACGGAGUGUCGUAAGCUAACGCGUUAAGCAGGCCGCCUGGGGAGUACGAUCGCAAGAUUAAAACUCAAAGGAAUUGACGGGGACCCGCACAACCGGUGGAGCGUGUGGUUCAAUUCGAGACAAAGCGAAGGACCUUACCAGGUCUUGACAUGCUACCGUUUUAACCCGCUGGAAACAGUGGGCUAUCCGCAAGGAUGGUAGUACAGCUGCUGCAUGGCUGUCGUCAGCUCGUGCCGUGGGGUGUUCCCUUAAGUGGGAUAACGAGCGCAACCCCUGUCUAAUGUUACAUAUUUCAUUAGAGACUGCCCGCGUAAUUCGCGGGAGGAAGGAAGGGACGACGUCAAGUCAGCACGGCGCUUAUGACCUGGGUCACACACACCCUACAAUGGCGAAAAACAAUGGGACGCAAACCGGCAACGGUAAGCAAAUCUCCUGUAAAUUUCGCCCCAGUUCAGAUUGGGGUCUGCAACCCGACCCCAUGAAGUCGGAAUCGGUAGUAAUCGCAGAUCAGCAGGCUGCGGUGAAUACGUUCUCGGGUCUUGUACACACCGCCCGUCAAGCCAACAAAGUUGGAGGCGGCCGAAGAGCCCUCGCAAGGGGGAGCUAAGCCGAAUUCAGCGAUGGGGACUAAGUCGUAACAAGGUA